CAAAAGGCUCUUUUCAGAGCCACCCAACGGAGAAUACUUAAGCUAC
rfam:Helobdella robusta unplaced genomic scaffold HELROscaffold_15, whole genome shotgun sequence.